CUCUGCCUGGAGAUCCUUCCUUGGUGGGAGCCUUUUCCUGCGAGCCCCAAAUCUUCCGAUCCGGAAUGGGAACACUAUUAAUAAGCAUUUUAAGUGACCUCCCUGAAGUCAUACCAAUGCCAGCUGAUUUUCACGAAAAUCAAAAGGUUCCCAAGCCUGAAAUAUUUCAGAACACAGAAACGGAUAUUAACCAAGAUAAAGAAAACAAAAUUUUGUUGCGUUAAAAGAAACCUGUGAUACUUGAUCUGACUGUAAAUGAGCAGACUUUCCUGUCAGGGAGUUGCAUUCAUUUUUGCAUGAACGCCACAGGCACAAGGCUUUAGCUUCCUUUUCUCACCCUUUUUCCCAGUGACCACAGAGGACAGUUAACAUUUCCUCUCCACCCACUUGUACCAGAGCUUUGGAAAUCAGCAGGUAAUUUUGAUCAUGCUUGACAGAAAUAGGUUUCAAAAGUCACCAGAUUCUAGGAAGCAGGCCGCAGACCACCUGGCCCAGCCAAGCCACCACAAGCCCAUUUAUUUCGUCCCCCAGAACAGAGCUACUACAUUUGGCUUUUCAGCAAGUCCUUAGCAAUGAUAGAAUAAGUGCUAACACCGCAUCUCACUUCAGAACAGAGGAGAUGGAGAGAGGGAAGAUCGACGGUGUCAUGGUGUGAGCAAGGCUGCGACAUGCCAGAAGAGAGGAGGAAGUUCAAGGAACCGCAGCGUGGCUGGACACGACAACGCUAGGGAAAGCAGUUUCCAUGGUUCUGCUUUUCACAAAGUUAUUUAUCAAAUGCAUUCCUAGGUAAACAUAAUGCACCUGCUUCAAGCAGCCAGGCAAAGCAGCAGGGAAAACACUGCUUGUUUUGAAACAGCUGUUUCUCCAACUCAAACAGCAGCUGUGUUCACCUUUUGUGUGGUAACUCUGCUAACUCGCCAGGUUCAGUGUUCUGCCAAGGCUGGCAGAAAGCAUUUAUCACAGGGUAACUUUACAAUAAACAAAAGAAAAGCACCUGGCCCCAUCAGAAAGAUCUUACCACACACCCCUUUCAACCACUAAAUGCAUCAUGGAAGAGCCCAAGCAGUUCUGCGUAUGGAAUGCUUUUUAUUACUCCACCUGUUCUCUGUCACAGAAAAAGAAACACUCCUCAGGUAAUUUCUAAACCAAGUUUCAUGCAAAAGCUAUUUAAAAACAAAAAAACAGGCGGUAGGUACCGCAUAUGAAGUUUCCAGCUCAAGACUGGAAGGAAGGAAACCUCUGUGUGACAGAAAUAACCCACUGGUAAGACACACACCACAGAAGGUAUCAUACCACCUCCUAAAACAGUUAUGCUUAUAUGCUUUGAACAUGAAUGGAAAAAGCUUCAGUUGCAGGAAGAGAUCAGGAGGCCGAGCUGGCUGUAAGCACCUCUAUGAAGCACUCGCAUUCCAGCAUGGCAUACACCAAUAGCUGGCACCCUCACUUCAGCGAAUGCUGUCUCAAAGCCAAGCGGUCAAAGUACACGCAGGGACCCGAGGUGUGGGUGAGGCCGCGGCGCACCUUGUGCUACAAUGUGACCCAGCAGCCCAGAGCCCCGCGCCGUUCCUGUUCCAGCAGCAAACCUUCCUUCAACCUUACUGCCACUUCAUAUGAUCUCGUUAGGAAAUUAUUUUUGAGUGAUUCGUGCUCGUGCUGGAUUUUGGGGCAGAAACUAGUAAUAUGUCAUCUCUGGAAAAAUAAAUUACAUGUUUUUUAUUUGUA